rnacentral:rRNA from 1 species
AUUGAACGCUGGCGGCAUGCCUUACACAUGCAAGUCGAACGGCAGCACGGGUGCUUGCACCUGGUGGCGAGUGGCGAACGGGUGAGUAAUACAUCGGAACGUACCUUAUCGUGGGGGAUAACGCAGCGAAAGCUGUGCUAAUACCGCAUACGCCCUGAGGGGGAAAGCGGGGGAUCGCAAGACCUCGCGCGAUUAGAGCGGCCGAUGCCUGAUUAGCUUGUUGGUGGGGUAAAAGCCCACCAAGGCGACGAUCAGUAGCUGGUCUGAGAGGACGAUCGGCCACACUGGGACCGAGACACGGCCCAGACUCCUACGGGAGGCAGCAGUGGGGAAUAUUGCAGAAUGGGGGAAACCCUGAUCCAGCAAUGCCGCGUGAGUGAAGAAGGCCUUCGGGUUGUAAAGCUCUUUUGUCAGGGAAGAAACACCGGCUCUAACACAGUCCGGGAAUGACGGUACCUGAAGAAUAAGCACCGGCUAACUACGUGCCAGCCGCCGCCGUAA